CGUUAAUGUCUCUGAUGGAUCACUUCCACACCUCAAAGAGAUCCCUGAACUCACGUUUGGUCUCCAAAGUGAGCGGACCCAUUUUGUUCAGAACGAAUGAGAUGCAGGUGCUGAUAUUUGGAGCCAGCUGGCACUGAAGCCUCCGCAGGCUGAAAGAACAAAAGAAAAGGACACUGAGGAGAGACAAGGAAGUAUUUUGACAGAUCUUACGGGGAGCUUUGACUCUGCUGCUUUCUCCAACAGAUGCUGCUGGAAUGCCAAGAAAAACAAAGAGAGGCUAAUGAUGGGUCAGAUAACCAGACCAACAGAGAAGCAGAUGAAAGGAAACAAAGCAAACCAAUUUGCAUGUGUCAAGUCUAAGGAGCUGGUGGGGCUGCGUGAGGGUGGGGGGUGGGAGGAUUAGUCUCUCUGGGGGUGGAAGAUGUUCGCUGGACCAGGAGGCCACAAGAGGCACCUCUAUAUAUGGCCCGACGCCUGAUGUUCACUAUAAGCAUGUUAAGAUGACAGAGAAUGAAGGUCUCCACGCCGCCCUGCUGGAGGGAAGAAGGGGCACGAAUGGACUCUCGUGUUUGCUUUGUGCUGGACCUCCCUUUACACCCCAGAAGGCUGGACGAGUGUUUCUCCUGCAGUCCAGGAGGACUUUUGAACGGACCUUUUAAUAAAAACUUUGGUUUUUGGACACUCCCACUGCGAUUUGCCUAUUUUCAGGUCCAGGAGAAAACUUAGUCCUAACAGAACUCUCCGACCAGGAUGGACCCGGUGGACCAAGAUGUAGUGCAUCGCACGCUGGAGGCUCAGGGGAGGCUGUUGGGGCAUCCU
rnacentral:lncRNA from 1 species